rnacentral:rRNA from 1 species
CCUACGGGUGGCAGCAGUGAGGAAUAUUGGUCAAUGGGCGCGAGCCUGAACCAGCCAAGUAGCGUGAAGGAUUGCUGCCCUACGGGUUGUAAACUUCUUUUAUAAAAGAAUAAAGUGCGGCUCGUGUGCCUUUUUGUAUGUACUUUCUGAAUAAGGCUCGGCGAACUCCGUGCCAGCAGCUGCUGUAAUACGGAGGAUCCGAUCGUUAUCCGGCUUUAUUGGGUUUAAAGGGAGCGUAGAUGGGUUGUUAAGUCAGUUGUGAAAGUUUGCGGCUCAACCCCGGCGAGCCGUUGAAACUGGCUGUCUUGAGAUGUCGAGAGGUAUGCGGAAUGCGCAGUGUAGCGGUGAAAGGCUUAGAGAUUGCGCAGAACUCCGAUUGCGAAGGCAGCAUACCGGCGGCGAUCGGACGCUGAGGCACGAAAGCGUGGGUAUCGAACAGGAUUAGAUACCCUGGUAGUC